rnacentral:rRNA from 1 species
GCAGGCCUAACACAUGCAAGUCGAGCGGUAACAGAGAGUAGCUUGCUACUUUGCUGACGAGCGGCGGACGGGUGAGUAAUGCCUAGGAAUCUGCCUAGUAGUGGGGGAUAACGUUCGGAAACGAACGCUAAUACCGCAUACGUCCUACGGGAGAAAGUGGGGGACCUUCGGGCCUCACGCUAUUAGAUGAGCCUAGGUCGGAUUAGCUAGUUGGUGAGGUAAUGGCUCACCAAGGCGACGAUCCGUAACUGGUCUGAGAGGAUGAUCAGUCACACUGGAACUGAGACACGGUCCAGACUCCUACGGGAGGCAGCAGUGGGGAAUAUUGGACAAUGGGCGAAAGCCUGAUCCAGCCAUGCCGCGUGUGUGAAGAAGGUCUUCGGAUUGUAAAGCACUUUAAGUUGGGAGGAAGGGCAGUAAAUUAAUACUUUGCUGUUUUGACGUUACCGACAGAAUAAGCACCGGCUAACUCUGUGCCAGCAGCCGCGGUAAUACAGAGGGUGCAAGCGUUAAUCGGAAUUACUGGGCGUA